UUUCCGUAGGUGACCUGCGGAAGGAUCAUUACCGAACUGUCAACAAGAGUUGUUGCUGGUCCCUGUAAUGGGGGCAUGUGCACGCUCUGUUUACACAUCCACUCACACCUGUGCACCCUCUGUAGUUCUAUGGCGUGGGUGGGCUCUGCCCUCCUGCUGUGGUUCUACGUCUUUACACACACACUACAAUAAAGUCUCAUGGAAUGUAUGUCGCGUUUAACGCAAUUAAAUACAACUUUCAGCAACGGAUCUCUUGGCUCUCGCAUCGAUGAAGAACGCAGCGAAAUGCGAUAAGUAAUGUGAAUUGCAGAAUUCAGUGAAUCAUCGAAUCUUUGAACGCACCUUGCGCCCUUUGGCUAUUCCGAAGGGCAUGCCUGUUUGAGUAUCAUGAACACCUCAACUCUCAUGGUUUGCCAUGAUGAGCUUGGACUUUGGGGGUCUUGUUGGCCUGUGAGCCAGCUCCUCUUAAAUGGAUUAGCUUGCCGGUGUUUGGUGGCGUCACAGGUGUGAUAACUAUCUACGCUUGUGGUUUCCCACCAGGUAACCUUCAGCAAUGGAGGUUCACCGGAGCUCAUAAAUGUCUCUCCUCAGCGAGGACAGAUUUUGACCGUUUGAUCUCAAAUCAGGUAGGACUACCCGCUGAACUUAAGCAUAUCAUA
rnacentral:rRNA from 1 species